AUUUAACAGAGCCCGUUACAGACAGUUUGUGAAACAAAUUGGUCAGCUGAUCAAGAUGACACUUUGUCAUGUGAGUGACCACUGGGCCCAAUACAUUAGCUGCAA